rnacentral:rRNA from 1 species
GAUGAACGCUGGCGGCGUGCCUAAUACAUGCAAGUCGAGCGAACAGACGAGGAGCUUGCUCCUCUGACGUUAGCGGCGGACGGGUGAGUAACACGUGGAUAACCUACCUAUAAGACUGGGAUAACUUCGGGAAACCGGAGCUAAUACCGGAUAACAUGUUGAACCGCAUGGUUCAACAGUGAAAGACGGUCUUGCUGUCACUUAUAGAUGGAUCCGCGCCGCAUUAGCUAGUUGGUAAGGUAACGGCUUACCAAGGCAACGAUGCGUAGCCGACCUGAGAGGGUGAUCGGCCACACUGGAACUGAGUCACGGUCCAGACUCCUACGGGAGGCAGCAGUAGGGAAUCUUCCGCAAUGGGCGAAAGCCUGACGGAGCAACGCCGCGUGAGUGAAGAAGGUCUUCGGAUCGUAAAACUCUGUUAUUAGGGAAGAACAAAUGUGUAAGUAACUAUGCACGUCUUGACGGUACCUAAUCAGAAAGCCACGGCUAACUACGUG